rnacentral:rRNA from 1 species
GACAGAGGGUGCAAACGUUGUUCGGAAUUACUGGGCGUAAAGCGCGUGUAGGCGGCUAUGCAAGUCGGUCGUGAAAUCCCUCGGCUCAACUGAGGAUCGUCGAUCGAUACUGCCGUUCUUGAGGGUUGCAGAGGAGACUGGAAUUCCCGGUGUAGCGGUGAAAUGUGUAGAGAUCGGGAGGAACACCGGUGGCGAAGGCGGGUCUCUGGGCAAUUCCUGACGCUGAGGCACGAAAGCGUGGGGAGCAAACAGG